rfam:Triticum aestivum genome assembly, contig: Triticum_aestivum_CS42_TGACv1_scaffold_224472_3B
UUUGUACUCCCUCCGUCCCAAAAUCCGUGUCUUAAAUUUGUCUAAAUACGGAUGUAUCUAGUUACAUUUUAGUGUUAGAUACAUCCGUAUAUAAACAAAUGUAAGACAAGAAUUUUGGGACGGAGGGAAUACUAC